UACGAAGGGGGCUAGCGUUGCUCGGAAUCAUUGGGCGUAAAGCGCACGUAGGCGGACCGCUAAGUCGGAUGUGAAAUCCCUCAGCUUAACUGAGGAAGUGCAUUCGAAACUGACGGUCUUGAGUACGGAAGAGGGUCGCGGAAUUCCCGGUGUAGAGGUGAAAUUCGUAGAUAUCGGGAGGAACACCAGUGGCGAAGGCGGCGACCUGGGCCGAUACUGACGCUGAGGUGCGAAAGCGUGGGGAGCAAACAGG
rnacentral:rRNA from 1 species